rnacentral:tRNA from 1 species
GCGCUCGUAGCUCAAUUGGAUAGAGCGUCACCCUCCGGAGGUGAAGGUCGUGGGUUCGAGUCCCGCCGAGCGCACCA